rnacentral:rRNA from 1 species
GAUGAACGCUGGCGGCGUGCCUAAUACAUGCAAGUCGAGCGAACGGACGAGAAGCUUGCUUCUCUGAUGUUAGCGGCGGACGGGUGGGUAACACGUGGAUAACCUACCUAUAAGACUGGGAUAGCUUCGGGAAACCGGAGCUAAUACCGGAUAAUAUUUUGAACCGCAUGGUUCAAAAGUGAAAGACGGUCUUGCUGUCACUUAUAGAUGGAUCCGCGCUGCAUUAGCUAGUUGGUAAGGUAACGGCUUACCAAGGCAACGAUGCAUAGCCGACCUGAGAGGGUGAUCGGCCACACUGGAACUGAGACACGGUCCAGACUCCUACGGGAGGCAGCAGUAGGGAAUCUUCCGCAAUGGGCGAAAGCCUGACGGAGCAACGCCGCGUGAGUGAUGAAGGUCUUCGGAUCGUAAAACUCUGUUAUUAGGGAAGAACAUAUGUGUAAGUAACUGUGCACAUCUUGACGGUACCUAAUCAGAAAGCCACGGCUAACUACGUG